GCUCCUGUAGUGUAGUGGUAGCACACCCGUCUGUAGAUAGACCGGCUCUUUAGCUGGGAAGCCCCGGCUAGGGUACCGGAGGUUUGAUUCCUCCUAGGUGCU